AAGUCGUAACAAGGUUUCCGUAGGUGAACCUGCGGAAGGAUCAUUACAAAAUACCUGCGCCGACCCCUCGGGGUUGUGCGCUUCUAUUUACACCCUUUGCCUAUGUGUACCCUUAUCGCUUCCUCGGCAGGCUCGCCUGCCGCCAGGAACCACCUAAACCCUUGCAUCUAUACAUGAAAACUUCUGAUACCAACCUAAAUUAUUACAACUUUUAACAAUGGAUCUCUUGGUUCUG
rnacentral:misc_RNA from 1 species